ensembl:lncRNA
CUCCAUGGUUGCAGCUUGAGCCUGGAAGUGCUGGUUCCAGAUUCCUCCUGGUGGACCCAGAACCAAGGCUUUGGUGGAACAUGGCACGAUAGCAGCCGUCUUGCUAAGGGAGCUUGCCUGAGGAUAAGACUAACAUGCUACAAUGCAAGGGUAGGAAGACGGAAGGAAUGUGAAUCCUUGGUGAUGUUGCUGAGCUGCUGAAUCAACUGACCAUGGGACUACCCUACUCAAGACUUCUCGUUCUAUAACAUACCACAUUUUCCUUAUUGCUCAAGUCAGCUGGGUCAGCAUUUUCUGUUACUUAGACCUGAAGGCUUCCUGAUACACUUGCCUAUGUCCAUUAACAUGGAUGUCAAAGAGUCUCAGCUGGUGGUCAUAGGUCUGUUUUUGUUUGACCAUUCUGCAAUUUCAGAGGGGAAAAAUGACAGGACAAGAAAUUCAUGCUGUGGAUUUAUUUAUUUAUUUAUUUAUUUAUUCUUAAUGAAAAUUUUAUUUUAAGAUAAUUGUAGAUUCACAUGCAGAUGGAAGAAAUAAUACAGAGGUCUUGUGUACCUUUCACUCAGUUUUACCCAUUUGUAACAUCUUGCAAAGCUAUAGUACAAUAUCACAACCAGAAAACUGACAUUGAUACAAUCCACCAAUCUUAUUCAGAUUUCACCAGUUUUACACAUAUUCGUUUGUGUAUGAGCGUGUUUUGCUCUAUGCAAAUUUAUAACAUAUGCAGGUUUAUGUAUUCACCGUCACAGUCAAGCUACAGAACUGUUGGGAUUUAUUUUUUAAAGAACCUUCUAAACUCUUUUGCCCCUUUGGCAUCUCUUUUCAAAUGUGCUCCUUGGAAGCGUUGGAGUUCCAACCUCCACCUCACUUCAAUUGGAGUAGGUCCACGUACAUGUAUUUUAUAUCUUGGGCUUCAUAAUAAGCCUUUAUCCGGAGAAUAAGUUCCCAGCUUAAGACCAAAAAAAGAGAAGAACUGAUAAUCUAUAGUAAAUAUACCUUUGAUAUUCAAAAUAUGUUACUUGGGGAGAGCUUUAUAUUUUUUUAAGGCACUUUCCUGUCCAUUAUCUCUCUUAAGUCUUAAAACAGCCCUGAUUAAGUGACUAAAUGAAUGAACAAAUGAAACAAACAUCUGUGCGAUGAGUUGUUGAGGGAGGUUUAAGAUGGGCACGGUCACAGAGGAGCUGAGCUGUUGGAGAAGGAACCCUGGAGUUCCACUGCGCAACCUCUGCCUUCCUCAGAUGGGAAGGACUGCAGACUCCUUGAAGUGUUUCUCACUUCCUCCCUUGGCCAGAUCCCACAAGAACUGAAAAUUAAAUCUUUUUGUCGAAGGACAAGAUUUCUUCUGGAAUAGGUGAUUUCAGCAUUGUGCCUAGUGGUAUCCCAAAAGGUUGGAAGCAUUGUUAUAUAAGAUGGAUCCUUUCCUGUGCAUCACUUGUCAUGCAAAAGGACUUGUGAUGAAUUCCAUGAAAUUUCAUAGACUUUAUUGGGGAAAUUUACAAAGCAUGAAUGAACAAGAGAAGAGACAAGAUGGGCUAAGUUUCUCUGCUGGACGCACCAUGGGUGGACAUUCCAGGGAAAGGAACUUGCCACUCGCUGCUCUCCUUCUUAUAGGGCAAGAGUGAGAAUGACCUAGUUGGUGGGUAGAUAAUCAGACUUCUUGGGUAUCAUCUGACCUAGAUCUUUAUAGGAGUUACCUGGCAAAACCAACCGUUCAGCACCCAAGGACCUGGGUUCUAGGAAAGGGAGAAAUUGGUCCCAUGAGAAGUUUGGGUGCAACUCAUCCUGCUGGGAGGUCAGAAGCUCAGGUCCCCACUGGCUUCUUGUCCAGGCAACCCAGAAUGAGCCAGCAAGGUCAGUUUUUGACAAUUCUGAUUAUGGCACCAUGAGUCUUAUUCAUCUUUAUAUCCCCAGCACUUAGCACAGAGCCUGGCAUAUGAUAGGUGCACGAGCAAUGCCUGAUGUGUUAGUGAAUAAAUGUACUUUUGUGCCAACUGAAAGUAACUGAUUUUUUUCUUGCUGAUGAAACGAGAGGAUGGCUAAUAAUAAAUGUUAUUGCCUACAUUUCUUGAAUCCGUGCACGUCGGUAUGCAUGCUCUGCCACUACUUUGGUAGAACCUCUUUGAAGAAACCACAACUCUAUGAGCAGCCUCGCUGGCUAAAGCAAGACCUCCUUCUACUGAAUUUCCACCAUUUCCUUGCAGCUCUGGGGGCAGUGUCUGGGAGCUGAGACACUCAGUAGAGGAAGUCUCUGCAGGCGCCAGCAGCUCUGGAAUUUCCCACGGCCACUCCUCUAAUAAUCUUCUUAAAUAUUCAGUACCUCGA